GUCCUCUUCCGAUCUUGCAGAGGAACAGACGGAAGAAAAAACAGAAGGAAUUGAGAGCAGAAAUCAUCAAGCGACAGAAAGACAAGAAGCAUGCUCGGGACACGAAAGAGAGGAAAAAA